UACGAAGGGGGCUAGCGUUGUUCGGAAUCACUGGGCGUAAAGCGCACGUAGGCGGAUUGUUAAGUCAGGGGUGAAAUGCCAAGGCUCAACCUUGGAACUGCCUUUGAUACUGGCAAUCUCGAGUCCGGGAGAGGUGAGUGGAACUGCGAGUGUAGAGGUGAAAUUCGUAGAUAUUCGCAAGAACACCGGUGGCGAAGGCGGCCAACUGGACCAUUACUGACGCUGAGGCGCGAAAGCGUGGGGAGCAAACAGG
rnacentral:rRNA from 1 species